UACAGAGGUCUCGAGCGUUGUUCGGAUUCAUUGGGCGUAAAGGGUGCGUAGGUGGCGCUGUAAGUCGGGUGUGAAAUCCUGAGGCUUAACCUCGGAACUGCAUUCGAUACUGCGGCGCUUGAGGACUGGAGAGGAGACUGGAAUUCAUGGUGUAGCAGUGAAACGCGUAGAGAUCAUGAGGAAGACCAGUGGCGAAGGCGGGUCUCUGGACAGUUCCUGACACUGAGGCACGAAGGCCAGGGGAGCAAACGGG
rnacentral:rRNA from 1 species